rnacentral:rRNA from 1 species
UACGAAGGGGGCAAGCGUUGUUCGGAAUUAUUGGGCGUAAAGGGAGCGUAGGCGGUUCGGCAAGUCUUUAGUGAAAUCUCUGGGCUCAACUCAGAGUCUGCUGGAGAAACUGCCGGGCUGGAGUAUGGGAGAGGUGAGUGGAAUUCCCGGUGUAGCGGUGAAAUGCGUAGAUAUCUGGAGGAACACCGGUGGCGAAGGCGGCAUCCUGGACCAUUACUGACGCUGAGGAGCGAAAGCCAGGGGAGCAAACGGG